rnacentral:rRNA from 1 species
UACGUAGGGUGCAAGCGUUGUCCGGAAUUAUUGGGCGUAAAGAGCUCGUAGGCGGUUUGUCGCGUCUGCUGUGAAAACUGGAGGCUCAACCUCCAGCCUGCAGUGGGUACGGGCAGACUAGAGUGCGGUAGGGGAGAUUGGAACUCCUGGUGUAGCGGUGGAAUGCGCAGAUAUCAGGAAGAACACCGAUGGCGAAGGCAGAUCUCUGGGCCGUAACUGACGCUGAGGAGCGAAAGCGUGGGGAGCGAACAGG